CUGGAGGGGUCCUAACUGCAUCGGAGCACAAACGCAGGGCCUCUCCCGUGUCUCCUACUCGGGCACCCUGGCCCUCAGUGUCCCCUCUGCUCGGGUGGAUGUUCCAAGAGUUUACGCAUCACCCCUAUCUCAGAGUCUAGAGCGCACUGCUUCUUCCACCUUGGAGGGACCCUUUCUGGUCUCACUGAUAAAGUAGACUUCACCAGCGCGCCUGCCCGGUUCCUCUGCUAGACGUUCUUCAGGGCACUCAUUCCUCACGCCACGCUGCUGCCUUCUGCCGGCCCCACAGGAUCAACCAUCAAGAAAGGGAGCCAGCAGAAUCUCUGAAAACUGAAUCCUGCUUCCAGUUUGUCCUACACCAAGUGGACGCUGACCAGAGCAGCAAAAUGACGCAGACGGUCCUGUGUCCCAGGGGGUUCCAGGGUUCCACCACCCUGAAGGCAGUGGGCUGGGUCCAGAGCCUCCCAAAUCCGAGUCUGUAAGGCAGCCUGUGUUGCCGCGCUGGCGAACGCUCCUCACUUUCCUUUUCUUGUGUCUUCCAGGAGGACCUGCUUCAGUGAUGGGUACUGGGAGACCUGGCACCACGAGGAGCGAAGGGUCACCUCUCCCUUCCAGCUCGGAUGGGGACAGCUAAGCACAGACCUCUGAUCACCCGCUCCUUUCCCAGGGCAAAACAUUCACUGAGCAUGACUCCCUCUGCCCUUGACAUU
rnacentral:lncRNA from 1 species